AUUUAUCCGGUCCGGACCCGGGUAAGAAACCUAGGUUCCAUAUUAGUAACCCGGUGUAACCGGGUUUAUAUAAAAGGAAAAAAAAAUUUAGUAUCUCCCCCGGGCCCCGAUCCUUCCCCGCCCCCCCCCAGUCUCUCUCUCACGCGAAACCUAGCCAAGAAACCUAGCCGCCGCUUCGUCUCAGGGUUCCCUAUCUCCGAGAUCUCGAUGGUUAGUUGAUGGAGAGAGAGCAGAUAUGGGAAGAAGAUGGAAGUGCUUCGCUCGAAGGUCUUCGUCCCUAACUGACCUCUCUCUCUCUCUCUGUUUUGAGCCCCGAAACCCUAGUUAUUGCCGUCAUCCUCGUGACCCCCAAGGGAAUUAGAAGAAAAUUUUCCUUGUAUCUGGAUUUGGAUGCCAGUCCAAAUCUUGCUUUGGACUGCCAAGGAAUCAACCAAUCCCCGGUUAAAAAUGCAAGCAGUACUAGUCUCUCUCCUGUCAUGCUGCAACAGAUGGUGGAAAUGCAUCUUCUAGUUGUUUUAAACUAAAGGCAUAUGCUUUGUAAAAGAGUGCACACGUGCAACUAGAAUGAUGUUGUAAGAUCUUUCAGUUUGUAGUCAUUUACUUUCCUUUUAUCGCAUCUAUAUGUGAAUAUUGUAGGUGCGAAUAUGUCAUGCUAGUCAUAUAUUUUAUACAGAAAUGUACUAACCUUCUGCUUCGUUCUAAGUUACUUGUUGCAUGAACAUCAGGCAGAGCUGGGGGAAUAAUCAGGUCGUGUACUGGGGGUAAAGGGGGAUUUACCAUGGCGUUUAUUGUCAUUAGAGGUUUCAUGGUCUUGCAUUUCUAUUCCCUAUUAACAAAUAUUGACAAUAUAAUGGCCUAGUCCGGACUUUUUUCUUGUAGGACUGGUUAUUGGUAUUUCUGGUUGUCUUCUCUGAAAUUACUUUGGAUUA